ACGGCUUGACUUAAUUCGCCCGCCAAACUGAGGCGGACCUGCAAGCAUGAGCUGUUGCUGCUGAUUCGUACGUGAUGUACAUCCUAGGAUGAGACUGACUCUACAUAGACCUGCAAGAUAUAGUGUCACAUGUUCACAGAAAGGGUACACGAUGAUUAGAAUUAAACAUGCUUGUUUCAGUUACAACUACAUUUUGCCAAAGUUGUGGAUUUGUGGUAGUCUCUCCUAUGGUCGAAUUUUGCAGCCCAAGGAUCCUCGUCUGUCAGUUUCCCGGCUUCCGGUGUUCGCGAUGGGCGGGAGUUGGAGGCGGCGCUAUGAAGGUUGCAGGCCAACCCUACCGCCUGCACUCGUCACGACAUGGUCUGCAUGCGGGCGUCUCUCCGCUCCAUUAACAUGCUUGUCUGAUGCCUCCGGCUCUCGGCCAAGACGAUCCAGCC